rnacentral:SRP_RNA from 1 species
GCCAGGUGUGGUGGUGCACACCUGUAAUCCCAGCUACUUGGGAGGCUGAGGCAGGAGAAUUGCUUGAACCCAGGAGGUGGAAGCUGCAGUGAGCUGAGAUGGCACCACUGCACUCCAGCCUGGGUGACAGCGUGAGAUUCUGUCUCAA